rnacentral:rRNA from 1 species
GGGUUCGAUUAUGGCUCAGAUUGAACGCUGGCGGGAUGCUUUACACACAUGCAAGUCGAACGGCAGCACGGACUUCGGUCUGGUGGCGAGUGGCGAACGGGUGAGUAAUGUAUCGGAACGUGCCUAGUAGCGGGGGAUAACUACACUUGCCCGAAAGCGUAGCUAAUACCGCAUACGCCCUUCGGGGAAAGCGGGAAGCCUUCGGGCCUCGCACUGGCCAAACGGCCGAUAUCGGAUUAGCUAGUUGGUGCGGUAACGGCUCACCAAGGCGACGAUCCGUAGCUGGUUUGAGAGGACGACCAGCCACACUGGGACAGGGUACGGCUGAGCUCCUACAGGAGGCAGCAGUGGGGAAUUUUGGACAAUGGAAACCACAGUCCAGCCAUCCCGCGUGUGCGAUGAAGGCCUUCGGUUUGUAAAGCACUUUGGCAGGAAGAAGCAGCCUGGGGACAAUACCCGUGCAGCUGACAGCUACCUGCAGAAUAAGCACCGGCUAACUACGUGCCAGCAGCCGCGGUAAUACGUAGGGUGCAAGCGUUAAUCCGGAAUUACUGGGCGUAAAGCGUGCGCAGGCGGUUCCGGAAAGAAGAUGUGAAAUCCCAGAGCUUAACUUUGGAACUGCAUUUUUAACUACCGAGCUAGAGAGUGUGUCAGAGGGAGGUGGAAUUCCGCGUGUAGCAGUGAAAUGCGUAGAUAUGCGGAGGAACACCGAUGGCGAAGACAGCCUCCUGGGAUAACACUGACGCUCAUGCACGAAAGCGGUAGAGCAAACGGAUUAGAUACCCUGGUAGUCCACGCCCUAAACGAUGUCAACUAGCUGUUGGGGCCUUCGGGCCUUGGUAGCGCAGCUAACGCGUGAAGUUGACCGCCUGGGGAAUACGGUCGCAAGAUUAAAACUCAAAGGAAUUGACGGGGACCCGCACAAGCGGUGGAUGAUGUGGAUUAAUUCGAUGCAACGCGAAAAACCUUACCUACCCUUGACAUGUCUGGAAUCCCGAAGAGAUUUGGGAGUGCUCGCAAAGAGAACCGGAACACAGGUGCUGCAUGGCUGUCGUCAGCUCGUGUCGUGAGAUGUUGGUUAAGUCCCGCAACGAGCGCAACCCUUGUCAUUAGUUGCUACGAAGGGCACCUCUAAUGAGACUGCCGGUGACAAACCGGAGGAAGGUGGGGAUGACGUCAAGUCCUCAUGGCCCUUAUGGGUAGGGCUUCACACGUCAUACAAUGUGGGACAGAGGGGUCGCCAACCCGCGAGGGGAGCCAAUCCCAGAAACCCGAUCGUAGUCCGGAUCGCAGUCUGCAACUCGACUGCGUGAAGUCGGAAUCGCUAGUAAUCGCGGAUCAGCAUGUCGCGGUGAAUACGUUCCCGGGUCUUGUACACACCGCCCGUCACACCAUGGGAGUGGGUUUUACCAGAAGUAGUUAGCCUAACCGUAAGGAGGGCGAUUACCACGGUAGGAUUCAUGACUGGGGUGAAGUCGUAACAAGGUAA